rnacentral:rRNA from 1 species
UACGAAGGGGGCUAGCGUUGUUCGGAAUUACUGGGCGUAAAGCGCACGUAGGCGGAUACUUAAGUCAGGGGUGAAAGCCCGGGGCUCAACCCCGGAACGGCAUCCGAUACGGGGUGGCUCGAGACCGGGAGAGGAGGGUGGAAUACCCAGUGUAGAGGUGAAAUUCGUAGAUAUUCGCAAGAACACCAGUGGCGAAGGCGGCUCACUGGCCCGGUACUGACGCUGAGGUGCGAAAGCGUGGGGAGCAAACAGGG